ensembl:snoRNA small nucleolar RNA SNORA3/SNORA45 family
AGCGAGGCUAGAGUCACAUCUGGACACUGUACUAUUGCCUUGGUGUGCUUGAGUGCUCGCAGAGUAAAUGUCUUUGCUUAUUCAUUGGCUGUAGUCUAAUGUGGCCCAGUCAAUCACCGGCUCAGACACAGUA